AUGGGCACCACGAGACCACCUCUGCUGGAGCUCAUGCUGAUGGUUCAUCGGGUUGAGGGAAAGUUAUCUACUGCCCUAUCCUUGAUGUCGUCCGGGGCCAAGCUCACGUUGGUCAAUUCGACCAUCACUUCGAUUCUUGUAUACGCCAUGUGCACGAUGAAGCUGCAUCCAAAGGUGGUCGAGCAUUUGGACAGGUUGCACAGAUAUUGUUUGUGGGCCAAAAACACUGACAAGGGGGUCAAAAACAACUCACUUGCAGCAUGGGAACUGAUCUGUAGACCCAAGAGUAAGGGUGGACUUAGUGUGAUCGAUGUCAAAAACCCAGAACAUGGCCCUGAUCCUGAAACAUCUCUUCAAAUUCUAUAA
rnacentral:rRNA from 1 species